ensembl:lncRNA
AAGCCACAAAAUUUCUACUUCAGUGAUUAAAGAUGCGCUGUGUAACUUUUCUGAUGUGGAUCUGCCACCUGCUUGUUUAAUGCCACACUGUGGAACAUUCAAAACAAAACCAUUUCCAGGGAGACAAUCAGGAGGCUGACUCUCCCCAGAGAAGUUACACAGUGCAGCUUUAAAGACAAAAAUGUGACAAAAUGUCUGAUGUUUUGUGUUUUUUGUGUUUAGGAAAAAGGAGUUUUCAGUGGCCUCCUCAAAAAGACUCCAAAGACAGAGGCAUCGGAGGGAGAUGAGAAGAAGGAUGUACGAGGCAGCAGUGAUGAUCUGACUGAACGCAGCUCAAACACAGAGAAGAAUAUUUUCACCAACAUCUUCAAGAGGCAAAAAACAGUGGACGACCCUGAGCCAGAGAAGGAACAAUCUGGGGAUGAACUUUCAGCGAGUAACGAAAAUCUGUCUGAGAAUAAACAGGACAAAGGGAUGUUCAGUGGACUUCUCAAAAAGACCCCAAAGACUCCAAAAGAAAGAUCAGCUUCACCAGAGCGAGACGACAAAGACGAGACGACGGCGAGCGGCGACGAGCUGACUGAAACCACCAGAGAGAAAAGUAAAUUCUCCAGCCUAUUUAAGAACCCCCGGAGACCAGCAGAGGGCGCUGCAGCGGAGCAGGAAAAAUCUGCAGAGGAACUUUCAGCGAGCAACGAAAAUCUGUCUGAAAAUAAACAGGUUUGGAUCCUCAAAAAGACGACAUUUACACAAAAGUAACACAACACAUCUGUGUGUGAACAUAACACACAACACACACAACACAUCUGUGUGUGAACACAACACACACAACACAUCUGUGUGUGAACACAACACACACAACACAUCUGUGUGUGAACACAACACACACAACACAUCUGUGUGUGAACACAACACACAACACACACAACACAUCUGUGUGUGAACACAACACACAACACACACAACACAUCUGUGUGUGAACACAACACACACAACACAUCUGUGUGUGAACAUAACACACAACACACACAACACAUCUGUGUGUGAACACAACACACAUAACACACAACACACACA